rnacentral:rRNA from 1 species
GAUGAACGCUGGCGGCGUGCCUAAUACAUGCAAGUCGAGCGAACAGACGAGGAGCUUGCUCCUCUGACGUUAGCGGCGGACGGGUGAGUAACACGUGGAUAACCUACCUAUAAGACUGGGAUAACUUCGGGAAACCGGAGCUAAUACCGGAUAAUAUAUUGAACCGCAUGGUUCAAUAGUGAAAGACGGUUUUGCUGUCACUUAUAGAUGGAUCCGCGCCGCAUUAGCUAGUUGGUAAGGUAACGGCUUACCAAGGCGACGAUGCGUAGCCGACCUGAGAGGGUGAUCGGCCACACUGGAACUGAGACACGGUCCAGACUCCUACGGGAGGCAGCAGUAGGGAAUCUUCCGCAAUGGGCGAAAGCCUGACGGAGCAACGCAGCGUGAGUGAUGAAGGUCUUCGGAUCGUAAAACUCUGUUAUUAGGGAAGAACAAAUGUGUAAGUAACGAUGCACGUCUGGACGGUACCUAAGCAGAAAGCCACGGCUAACUACGU